AGGGGACAGUGGCGGUGAAAAGAGGAGGGCUGUAGGCUUUGGGACGGGGUUGGUCAGGAUUGGGAGGAAAAGAAACAUCCACACCUGGCUGUGGGCCAGACUGCUCAUUUCUGAUGCCCUCCCCUUUAAAACAGAGGCAGAAGCCCCUUGAUCUAGUAGAAGCAGCUCUUCAGGUAGAGAUGCCAUGCUUGGCAUCUAGAUCCUUAACCCCUUCCCAGCCAACACCAUCAAAGUAGGGGUCAGGAGUUGUCUCCAUCAGCUGGAGUCAAAUGAGGUAGACCAACUUAUCCCACCCUGCCUUCCCAUGCUGACAAGUGGGUGACUGGAGGCCAGCCCUUCCAGAACAGCAGAAGCAGCCAAGCCUGCUCUAAGAAAGCUGGCCUUCAGGCUAAAGAGCCAACUGCCUCCCCACUGCCCGUAUGGGUUUGUGUCAGUGACAACUCCAAGGGCAGAGGCUCCCCAGGUGCACAGGUUGAAGGGAGGUGCCACAUUCUCGGUUCCUGUUGGGAAGAGGACUGUAGUUCCCAAUUAUGAGCCAGAGCCUCACUAUUUCAUGGUUAAGACAGCUAGGAAUAAGACGAGGGGCGGGCCGGGGGAGUGGUUUGCAGACAGCACACCACACCCACAAGUGUGAAGGGGGAAGAGGAUACUUGGGGAAAAGACUCUGAGCCUGGCCUACUUUAAUAAGGAGAUUUUCUACUCCCCAGUGUAAAAUCACCACAGGCUCAUAUUUGACAGCCUUUGGCAAAUUCUCCAAAUACCCCAAACUGGGGCUGUUUCCAUGGGAACACUGGUCCCUAGCUCAAGGCAACUCAGCAAAGCUUUAGGAAGCAACUUCUCUACACAAGGCACAACAGAGGGCUCCCAAAUGGCUGAGAGCACUGCAGGAGGCAGGGGGAGGCCUAGCAGCAGAAACCCAGGACUCCCUGGGUAGGGGGCUCCCCCAGUGCUCCAGCUCAUUGCUCCAAGACCUUAAAGGACAGGGGUGUGCCACUCUUGGCAAAGGGCUUCAUCAAACUGCUGGGAUAGAUGCACCCCAACUUCUCUGGGGUUGGGAAGCCCCACACCCUAUAGAGGGACAGGCUUAGCCGGUCCCCAAUAUAGAAGGGACCCACCCAUUUGGCACUGCUGCCAUUCCUGGGGAGAGACAGCAGGAGGACCUGGUCACCCACGUUCCACUCCUUCUCCUGGCUCUCCUGCUUGAAGCGCCUGUUGUCAGCCUUCUCAGUGCCUUUUUCAGCCCCCUCCAGUGGAGCUCCAGCAGCUCCCCAAUCAGCUGCAGCAGGAAAACAUCCAUCUUGAGCCCUUCAAUGUUUGCACUGCUCAUCUCCCACCACAGGGGCUCAGUCAGCCUCCUCUCAGCCCCCGUCAGGACCUGGAAUGGCGUGGCCUCUGUGGAAGAGGCUCUGAAGGCCAGGUGCAACAGGGGCAGAGAGGCUGCCCACUUCCUGCCAUGCAGGAAGAUGAACUCCUUUAGGGCCCUCUUGAAUUCCCAGUAGGCCUCUGAGCUCACUAGGCAGGGGAACUGCAAGUCCCUACUCAGGGAGGUCACCUGGGCUCCCAGGGCCAAUCCACAGCUCACCAGGACAUGCCGAGCAAACUGGGGGCCCUGGGCCGCCUCCAGCCUCACAGGAACGCCCCACCGUGCAAACACAUGCUGAAGCAGCACCUGGGCCACCGCCAUGUGUGUGUAGGGUUUCAGCGGGAACGCCUCCACCCACCGGGUGUUGGGGUCAGCCACGAUGAGCACAUGCCUGUGGCCCUCCUCGCUUACGGUGAGCGGCCCCACCACCUCGAUCUGCAGGUUCGACCAAGGGGCAGUCGACCUGAGGGGCCAGGGGGACUCGAUGACCUUCAACUCACUGCCUGUGAGAUUCCGGGGGAUGCAAAACAGGCAGCUCCUGCAGUAAUCUUUCACAUGCUCCUGCAUCCCAGGCCACCAUCCCAGCAACUGCAAUUUUUUGUAAGUCUCCUCUGGCCGCUGGUGGGCCCCCAUGGGGAUGUCAUGCACAGAGAAAAUCAGAUCCCUCCGGAGCUGCCUUGGGACUACCCAGACCUUGGGCUUUUUAUCUCCCUUGAACAUAAGCAGCCCACUCUCCUUGUCAAGGCUGAGUGAGUGAAAGGCAGAACUGAAGGGGGAGGAGACAGACAAUUUCUGCCCAGCACGAAGUUUGGCAAUGAUAUCAGCCAGAGUGCUGUCACUCAGCUGCAAUGCCAACAAGUUGGGCCUCUUGCCCAUGGUAUGGGAAGUCACUACAGGGACCGGCACAUCCUUUGGCAAAUCCCACCACUGCCCACUUCCUUGGGCACCCUGCUUGGCCAGGUUAUCCACUGUCACAGCAAACAGAGAGCUCCGGUAGGAGGUUCGGUAGAUGAAUGGAAGAGAUGAAAGGCCAGAGGUGAGGGAUAUAAUGUAGGAGAGCAGGCUUGGGUGAGGUAGUGCAGCCCCAUCAGAGGAGAGGAAGCCCCGGGCCCUCCAGAGGGGCAGGAGCUCCCAGAGGAGGCUGAAGAUCCAGUUGCAGUGGGUGAGGAAAACCACAGGGAGGUGGGACUGGCCACAUCGCUCCAGGCCACAGGCCACGGCUGCCAGGUGGGCAUAGGUCGGGGUGUAAGGGGAGCAGGAAAAGGAAAGGGAGACCGGGGGACUGGUGGGAGACAGGACAUAGAGGCCAAAACCAGCACACCACUCAUCCUCGCGGUAAAAGCAGUAGCCCGACAUGUGGAUGCAGACAAAAGUGGACAGGUCAGAAAAAGGAGGCAGAACCUGGAAGAAACGAGGCAUGGAGGAAACAGGUGUCAACAGUCGGUUUUCCCCCAGCAGGCCCUGGAGAAGGGCCAAUUCCAGGGCCCUCUUGCCUCUGUCCUGUACCAAAAGGGACCAUCGAAUCAACCAUGCUUUGGAGACCCGGCAGCACUCUGGUGCCUCAGGAGCCACAGUGGUCCGGGAGGCGUAGACAAGGUGGAGGACCACUGGGUCAUCUCCAAUACAGUGGGAAAAAUGCUUGAGGGCCCAGGCCACGGCAUAGGGGCUGUCCCCGCCUGACUGGGGGCCCUCACUGUCCUCAUCCGGGAGUAGGGGCUUCGAGGUAGGUAGGCGAUGGGGUGCUUCUUCCCUGAGUGCUCCUGGUAGAGGAUGGCUGUCAGGGCCACCUGGCUCACUGUCACCUGCAGGCGGAAGGGGAGCUGGCAAUUGGGGGGCUGACAGACAGAGGGCAGACACCAGGGCUCGCUUCAGGGCCAGGAAGGCCUUCUCAUGCUCCUGGUCCCACACCCAGUCUGGCUUCUGCUUGAGGAGGCUGUGCAAAGGGCCCAUGAGGGCUUCGUAGUCAGGGAUGACAUCCCGGUGGGAGUCCAUGAACCCCACAAAGAAAGACAGCACGGUGAAGUUGCUGGGGGUGGUGAGCUGGGCCAGCUGGGCAAGAACCUGCUGGCAGGGAGCCUUCCCAUCCCAGGGGAUCCCUAGGUACGAAGAGGCCACCCCAGGAAGGAGGUCAAUGUCCAGGGCUCCAUCAGGGGGUCGUGGAGGCUGAGGCAUUGGAGAAUUUCCUCUGAAAGGGAGGGGCACUCAACUCUGAACACUGAGGCCAGGAAAGAGUCCAGGUCAUCCUCCUCAGCCCACCCUGGCAUUCCCUGCCCCUCUCUCCACUCCUCAUCUUGCCUCUCCUCCUUCUCCUCUCUGACUUCUUCCACAUUCUGUGGACCCUCCAAGGGCCUAGGAUCAGUGUCAUCCCUGAGUUGAGAGAUGCUGGCUGAGCUGGGUGGAAGGGUCUUCCACACCUUCAAGAAGUUGCCAAUGUCUGUGUCCAACCUACAAAACAGGUGGAAGAGGGAGAGGGGACAACCCCACCCCCAGAUGUCAUCCAAGGGAAAAGAUAUACCCGUGGAUGCCCCACAGAGCCCUGCCCCAUUCCUAAAUGUCUCCAAGGCUGGGCUGAGUGCCAGUCCCCUACUUGUAUAGCAAGGGCUCCAUCAGGCCCUUACCUGUGAAUUCUUGCUCUAUCUCUGCAUCUGCCAGAACUUCAACAGAAAAGCAAAACUGCAUUGAGCAAGAUGCGUUUACCCUAAUUUUAAGCCAGUGGUUUGAUAAGAGGUGACUGGCAGCUCACAACCUAACCCCAGAACAAGCGCUUCAUGGGGAGAGCAACACGGGAGGAGAGCCCCACGCACAAGAGGCAGACCUCAGGCUCAUUUCCAAACUGGAGAAGUGAGGCUGAGGGCCAGGCCUGGGGAGAAGCACCCUGUCCAGAGGAUCCCAACCAAGGCCUGCUGCUGGGCCCAGGGUACUUCAAAGUGGGCAGCAAAGUAGUUGGGAGGGAUGGAGGCCAGAGAAUCAGUGACUGCAAAGCUAUUCUCCUAACACCAGCAAAGUAACCUUGGAAAAAUCACUUGAGUUUCAGAUUCCUCAUCCAUAAAUUACAGUAGUCAUUGACAUCUAACCGAACUUCACUGCUGCAUUGGCACCAAGAGCAUAACUUAGAAAAGGUCAGCCAGGCAUGGUGACCCAGCAUUUGUGAGGUUGAGGGAGGAGUUCAAGGCCAGCCUGGGCUACAUAGUGAGUUCGAAGCCAGCUUGAACUACAUAGCAAGACCCUGUCUCAGAAAAAUAGUAAAAAGGCCUUCAACUAGAAAACAGAUAAGUCUGCUACAUGGGUACUUAUGUAGCAGAAUACUACAUGGCCAUUAAUGUAUACUAUAUACAUUAGCAUGGCAUACAUCUGAAAAAGAAAUAGUAAAACAUUGAACACAAAUGCCAAUUCUGGAAGGAUAGAUACAGCAUUAAAGCAUGUGUGAAGUGUUAAAACCAUACUACAAGGGGUGUAUGGAUGCCUCAAUAGAUGACCAAAGUGUAUUGACAUGAAAAAGUCCAGUCACUCUUUUCUGUUCAUGAUUAAGCAGCAGACAAUAUUGGCUAGCACUAAAGGGAGUUCUGGUUACUCUCAGGAGGGCCUCAUAUAUUACCUGUUUGGCUUCUUCAGAAACUCAUCCAAGGUGGGGCCAUCACGGCCCAGGGGGUCAUCUGGCACCAUGAAGAGAUUCCCCGCAAAGGUGAAGGGCAGCAGGCUGGGCCCGGAAGACAAAGGGGCAUAGUCUUAGAUGAGCCCUGACUUUCCCAUGCCCUGCUACUGCCUGGCUGUUACCCCACCUUCCAGAAGGUGCUAGUGAGCCCUACCCCAGGGCCCCUCUCCCUGCCCCAUCAUCUGCUUGCCAGGCACUGCCUGACAUCAAAGGAACAAAGUGGCUCCCACCCCUAAAGGCUGUCUCACCGAUCUUUGACCAUGAGUUUCUUAGAAUUAUUCAUCAGGGUGUGAAUCUGCUCAUUGGUAACAAUGACGCCAUCUGUCUCUUCUGCCAGCUUUACCAUGAACCUGAAGGGAAAAGAGGAGUCACUGAUGACCCAGGGACCAGCCCCAUCACUUCCUGGGUCCCCUGAGAAAAUGAACUUGCAGCUUCACAGAGAGGUGUGCCAGACAAAAACACUGCCCCGCACAGUCAGGGAUUCAGGGCUCUGGAGUAUACCCCCUCCUCUGCAGCCAUCUGGGAUCCCCAGCAGCCCUCUAGGAGGACACACACACCUCAACUGUACAUACAAACCCUAUCACACACCCCUAUUAGAUACACAAACACACACAGAUACCGAAACCCGUCCACUUCACACAUGUGUAUUUACUGCUUGUUUUUGCAUUUGUAAAAUGGAGAUAAAAUCCCUACCCCAUAUUGCUGUAAAAUUAAGUUGGAUGACAUAAUGCAUUUAAAGUGUCUAGCUCAAUGCCUGUGACACAGGAUAUGCACAAAUAUUCCAAUAUUCUUCAUUAAUACACAACAUUAAUAUGCAUGCCAAGAAAUAAUACAAACAUAUUAACGCACAUAAAAACACAAACCUGAAUUUUAAAAAUCUAUUUUUCCAAGAAUCACCUCUCCUCUAAGGAGUGCUGUGACCAAGAAAGAAAGCAAAGGCUACCUACUUCGCAUUAUCAUUCGGGCUACACCAAGCAUGCUAUUCCAAAAAUGCCCAGCAGGGGGGCCUUCUGUAGAAAAGACAUCCUCCCUUAAACCCAGGCCUGAAUUGACAGCCUCUUAGAGGUCUUACCCAGGGGAUAACUGGGAAGGAGGGACCUUGAGAAGCCCUGCCCAGCUUUCCCAGGCUAGAGAGUUGAAUGGAUGUCCCGUCUUUGGAAAAGUAGGAAAAAACGGAACUUUUCCCUGCCCAGCACAGGAGGUACCCAGUGAAGUCAAGACCUCUGUCUGCCCCACAUCAACUCCAGCCCAGAACCAGUGACUUUGGCAGGGCCUUUCCACCCCAACAGAGGCAGGGGCACAGGCUUCCCUGGGCAAGCUGGUCCUGCAGCCUCACCGAAGAGUUGAUCCCUAAGAGCGACAGGUACAGAGGCAUUCAGGAUUCAGGCAGAUGCAGCCAGUCUAUCUCCACUUCCAGAGCCUUGCCCAAGGCAUUUGCUCUACACACACCUCCUCUGGUACCAGGACUUGGAGGGAAAAAAAGGCUGAAGCAGUCCCUUGAACUUCACCCUAAACUGAUACCCAAAAGCCUAAGGUACCUCCGAUGCUCACUGGAAGCAGGUGGAAUUACCUGGCCUGUCUGAUCCACAGUGGUGCAUGUUGGACCACACAGUCCAUGGUGAAGAAAGCCAGUUAACUCAGGGAAAUAGAGCACCAGAGUCCCAAAGUCAGGAGCAACCCUUGAGCUUGGGUAGAACCAACCUCAAGGCCUCCUCUUCACUUGCCCCUCACCCCAUCCUCUCAGACAUUAUCCCCCUGACAUAUCUGCCACCAUUUCCACAGAGAAGAUGUGGCCGGGCUACCUGAUACUCCAUCCAAGCCCAAACAUGCCCCACAGAGAACCCACGGAGCGGCGCACCUAUAGUCAUAGGUGGCGAUCUUCUUGCCGUUCUCCAGCUGGGAGGGGGUGAUUGAAAGCAUCUUGAGCGAGUGAAGCUUCGUCAGAAAGUGGCUUUCUGGGGGAGAAAGGCAGAAAACAAAAAUGGUCAGAGGAAGGGGCUAAAUGGGAAAGGCCAUGGUGGAGUAGUGGAAGGUGGAGCAGAAAGGUGAGGGAAACCAUCACCCUCCGGUGAUGCCGGAGGGGCAGAGUGCACAGUGCACAUCUCACCUCUCACCCUUCGGUUCUUCUUCAGCUGCCAGGUGGGUACAAACACAGUGACCUCUCGGUGUCCCCCGGUUCCAGAAAUACUGCACUGCCAUGGCAAUGCCCUCGGCAGGAGAAGAAAUGCUGGAGGCCAUGCCUGUGGGGUGGUCAGAAGUGAAGGAGCAGCUUCCCCAAAACAAGAGGAAGGACUGCCUCACAACUCCCCCACUCAGAGCCACCCAGGGCAGCAAGCAGGCAAUGCCAGGGAAAGAGCAUCAGCACCAAAGACACCACAGUGCCCUCCUCCCUGCCCUCCAUCCUCAAACAUUCUGUGAGCAGCUGCUGGUACAGAGCAAUUCCAGAUGCUGCCUGUGUGCAUGUGUGUGUGCACACAUAUGUAUAUGGACACUGAGGACGAGAGGAAGAAGGUAGCCCCAUACUCAAAAGAGCUCUAUUUUAGAGCUUAAAGCAAACAAAAACUCCCUGCUUGCCUAUUGUGUGCUGAGAAUGUGCUCAUCAUGAAUGACUAUGCUGCCAUGUGGCAAAUUAAGCAGCCUAGCAUGUAUUUAUCCUAAGACCUCUACAGCAGUAAACACUGCACAGGGAGGGAAAUAUCAAAGGGUUGGCCAGGUCAGGAAAAGUUUCAGAGUAAAUCUGUGCUGGGCCUUGCUGUUUAGGCUAAAUGUUUAAAAGCCAGCCUGGGAGGAGCAUGGGCCUUGGCAGUAGACAGACCUGAACCCAGAGGCUAGCCCAGCCCCUGACCAACUCAGGGACCUUGGGCGAGAUUCCUCACCUCCAAGCUUGUGUCUGCCUCUACCAAAGGGGAUGAACAGAAACCUUCCAUUCUGGGGGCUGCUGGGACAAUUUGGUGCACACUGCUUAGCAUUAGUGGCCACUCAAUGUGCUUGUGCCAUUUCCCUUCCAUCCUUUCCCCAUUUGAACCUUAUGCCUUUUAUAUGGGUCAAGACAAGAUGCCCACAAUCCACUGCCUGUGAAUUUCCUGCCCCAGCUUCUAGCAUCCCCAGCCCAGCCCUCACCCGUGGCUACUCA
rnacentral:lncRNA from 1 species